GACGAACGCUGGCGGCGCGCUUAACGCAUGCAAGUCGAACGGAAAGGCCUGCUUUCCCUUGUGGAUUGCGGGUACUCGAGUGGCGAACGGGUGAGUAACACGUGAGUGAUCUGCCCCCAACUUGGGUAUAAGCCUGGGAAACUGGGUCUAAUUCCCGAUAGGACUGCAGGGUGGUGCCUGUGGUGGAAAACGAUUUUCUAGUGGUUGGGGAUGAGCUCGCGGCCUAUCAGCUUGUUGGUGGGGUAAUGGCCUACCAAGGCGGCGACGGGUAGCCGGCCUGAGAGGGUGGACGGCCACAUUGGGACUGAGAUACGGCCCAGACUCCUACGGGAGGCAGCAGUGGGGAAUAGUGCACAAUGGGCGGAAGCCCGAUGCAGCGACGCCGCGUGGGGGAUGACGGCCUUCGGGUUGUAAACUCCUUUCGACCGCGAGGAAGCCACCUGGUUGGAAGGGUGGUGACGGUAGUGGUAGAAGAAGCACCGGCUAACUACGUG
rnacentral:rRNA from 1 species